rnacentral:rRNA from 1 species
GCGUGAGUGACGAAGGCCUUAGGGUCGUAAAGCUCUUUCAACUGUGAAGAUAAUGACGGUAGCAGUAGAAGAAACCCCGGCUAACUCCGUGCCAGCAGCCGCGGUAAUACGGAGGGGGUUAGCGUUGUUCGGAAUUACUGGGCGUAAAGCGCACGUAGGCGGACUAUUAAGUCAGAGGUGAAAUCCCAGGGCUCAACCCUGGAACUGCCUUUGAUACUGGUAGUCUGGAGUUCGAGAGAGGUGAGUGGAAUUCCGAGUGUAGAGGUGAAAUUCGU